UGCCACGCGCCGCGCAUGUGUGCCGCGCCUUACUCGGCCACGACGUUUAUGUCGCAUAAACGAGCUAAGUUUACAAACGGCGCCUGCGCAGAUCGCACGUUAGCACGUUAAGAGCCGCGGUUCGUGACACCUGACAAAUGUGAAGAAUCAACAAAGUUGUGUGAUAACAUGAAGGUGGCAAAUAGUGGAAUUGUUUCGAGUUAGCGAAAGUGAUUGUCACGUGAAUUAUUUAAUUCUUUCAUUUCAUUUUUUAAACGCAUCUGGAAGUUUUCACCUGUUUGUUGGAACUAUUGUUAUAAAUAUACGGUGGCUGUAUUUGCACAAAUGUGGACCUACUCGAGUGUGGACAUCCCGGGCUCUCGUAUGAGCCGUACGGACAGAAUAAAAAUCUACUUGUCAGAGUGUGUUGUGUGUUUUUGUAUAGUGUUCUUUAUAAUCUGUGUGGGGUUACUGUUGUACUUGUUUUUCCAUCUGUACAGUACUGUGACGAGUGCGGGGAAACUCGCGGGCUCUUUGGUAGCUGAGAGCUAGUGUUUACACUUUGCAGCCUAGAUCCUUCUAUUGAUGUUAAUGUGUUUAGACAUGUGACAGUAUUACAGCAUGGACCAACAAACCAAACCAAAUGGUGCCAACUUCGUGACGUGAAGCGACUGCAGUGAAGUAUCUCAAUAAAUUUAUUAUUACAAUGUAUUCUCAUAGUUUAAUGAUGCAAUUUGUAAAAUAGAAAAUAGAUAAACAUCCAUAAUGUUUCUCCAAUUGCAAUAUUACUUUACUGGAAAAUAGUUGUUUUUCCAGGUAUAGUUUUCCUAGAUUAUUUGAAAAAAUAUGAAUACUAAAAAAAAUACAUUAAUUAAUAUUACUUAGUAUACUUAGUUUCAAUAAAAUGUUAAAAUAUUCUCAAAUAUUUUGUAAUAAAGAUAAUACUUUAGAAGAACAAUACAAAAUAGACUUUUUGAAAACAGUUACCCCUUAUUCAUAAAUAUACACCGUACUCUUUACACCUAACAAGUAAAUGCGACGUCAAAUGAUAAUUUUACAAAGUAGAGACGUUUUAAUGUAAACAGCAAUAACUGUGCUGCUUUUUAUGAAUAAGAUGUAACUGUUUUUAUUUAACUUUUAUUCCUUAAGAAAACCGUCUGUGAUGUUAACUAGUAGUUAUAGUAAUAUGUUAUUUGUUAAACAAUAUCCAAAUACAUAAACGUUUUACCUAAAAGAAA